GUAUACAAAUACUAAAUUUUUUGUCAAUGUGUUAGGCUACAAAAAUUGGGGAGAAAUUAGGUGCAAUUGAACAGUUUGCAGAGUUGCAUAAAAACGAGAAAAAUGGUUGGGACAUUGGAGCAAAAUCUAAAUGGGAGGAGAUGAUUGCUAUACGAGUUGAAACUUCAACAUGUGAUACUAAAACAAUAACUGAUGAUGAAAUUGUUGCCAAAGUUCUUGGUGUAAAAUCAGGAUAUAUUAAGGGAUGUGGAUUUGGGCCUCGACCCUCAGGAUCUUUAUCAAAAGCACAUGUCUCUCAGCAUAACAAAGAGCUCGAACAAAUUGUUCAGAGCCAACAAGAAGACCUUGAUCGUCAAUGUGAACUUAUCAAAGUAAUGGAGGAGAAGCAAAAAAAAUUUGAGGAGUUCAUGGAGAAAAUGAGCUCAGGCUUCACUUGAUAUAUCAGUCAGUCAUCUUUAUCAUGAUGUUGUUUUGAAUUAUGAUGACUAAUGUUUUGAAGUAU